rnacentral:rRNA from 1 species
ACAUGCAAGUCGAGCGGUAGAGAGAAGCUUGCUUCUCUUGAGAGCGGCGGACGGGUGAGUAAAGCCUAGGAAUCUGCCUGGUAGUGGGGGAUAACGUUCGGAAACGGACGCUAAUACCGCAUACGUCCUACGGGAGAAAGCAGGGGACCUUCGGGCCUUGCGCUAUCAGAUGAGCCUAGGUCGGAUUAGCUAGUUGGUGAGGUAAUGGCUCACCAAGGCGACGAUCCGUAACUGGUCUGAGAGGAUGAUCAGUCACACUGGAACUGAGACACGGUCCAGACUCCUACGGGAGGCAGCAGUGGGGAAUAUUGGACAAUGGGCGAAAGCCUGAUCCAGCCAUGCCGCGUGUGUGAAGAAGGUCUUCGGAUUGUAAAGCACUUUAAGUUGGGAGGAAGGGCAUUAACCUAAUACGUUAGUGUUUUGACGUUACCGACAGAAUAAGCACCGGCUAACUCUGUGCCAGCAGCCGCG